GGCUCAGAACGAACGCUGGCGGCGUGCUUAACACAUGCAAGUCGAACGAGAAGAAGUAGCAAUACAUGGAUGAAGUGGCGGACGGGUGAGUAAUACAUAGGUAACCUACCCUCAUGAGGGGGACAACUCAGGGAAACUUGAGCUAAUACCCUAUAAGACCACGGAUUGGGAUGUCAGUGGUAAAAGCUGCACUGUGAGUAAUCCACUUGGGGAUGGGCCUAUGGCCUAUCAGGUAGUUGGUGGGGUAACGGCCCACCAAGCCUAAGACGGGUAGCCGGACUGAGAGGUUGAACGGCCACACUGGAACUGAGACACGGUCCAGACUCCUACGGGAGGCAGCAGUGGGGAAUUUUGCGCAAUGGACGAAAGUCUGACGCAGCGACGCCGCGUGGGGGAUGAAGGUCUUCGGAUUGUAAACCCCUUUCGGGAGGGAAGAUGGAGUGGGUAACCACUUGGACGGUACCUCCAGAAGCAGCCACGGCUAACUUCGUGCCAGCAGCCGCGGUAAUACGAAGGUGGCAAGCGUUGUUCGGAUUCACUGGGCGUACAGGGAGCGUAGGCGGUUGGGUAAGCCCUCCGUGAAAUCUCCGGGCCUAACCCGGAAAGUGCAGAGGGGACUGCUCAGCUAGAGGAUGGGAGAGGAGCGCGGAAUUCCCGGUGUAGCGGUGAAAUGCGUAGAGA
rnacentral:rRNA from 1 species